UAGGGAAUCUUCCACAAUGGGCGCAAGCCUGAUGGAGCAACACCGCGUGAGUGAAGAAGGGUUUCGGCUCGUAAAACUCUGUUGUUGGAGAAGAACGUGCGUAAGAGUAACUGUUUACGCAGUGACGGUAUCCAACCAGAAAGUCACGGCUAACUACGUGCCAC
rnacentral:rRNA from 1 species